rnacentral:rRNA from 1 species
GACGAACGCUGGCGGCGUGCCUAAUACAUGCAAGUAGAACGCACAGUUUAUACCGUAGCUUGCUACACCAUAGACUGUGAGUUGCGAACGGGUGAGUAACGCGUAGGUAACCUGCCUGGUAGCGGGGGAUAACUAUUGGAAACGAUAGCUAAUACCGCAUAAUAUUGAUUAUUGCAUGAUAAUUGAUUGAAAGAUGCUAUUGCAUCACUACCAGAUGGACCUGCGUUGUAUUAGCUAGUAGGUGAGGUAACGGCUCACCUAGGCGACGAUACAUAGCCGACCUGAGGGGGUGAUCGGCCACACUGGGACUGAGACACGGCCCAGACUCCUACAGGAGGCAGCAGGAGGGGAUCUUCGGCAAUGGACGAAAGUCUGACCGAGCAACGCCGCGUGAGUGAAGAAGGUUUUCGGAUCGUAAAGCUCUGUUGUAAGAGAAGAACGGGUGUGAGAGUGGAAAGUUCACACUGUGACGGUAUCUUACCAGAAAGGGACGGCUAACUACGUG